AUUCCCCCUCCCCCACCCUCCCAAACCAAUACAGGAUGACAAUGAAAUCAUCGCCCAAAUAAGACUGCUGGAAAAAAUUUUCCCCAAUUCUUUUCUCUAAGCUGCCGCUACUUCACAUUUACCUUCACUGCCUCCCUGAACCUAAUUCAUUCCUACAUAUUCAUUGCUUCUGUCUUCCAGAUUACUCUCACCCAUAGCAAAUCUCCAUCUCUUUCUCUAUUGGUUGGAUUCUUUUGCUCUCAAAAUUUCCUUUAUCGUUUGGGAGUAGUUAUCAAAACCCUCUUCCCCAACGGCUAUAUUAUCGUCUAUGCACAAAUGUUUCAGUAGUUAUCAAAACUCCCUUCCUCAAAGUUGCGGAAUCAAGUAGUUGCUAAUGUGGAGGCUAGGAUAGCUGCCUGGACGUUCCUUCUUGAAGAGAACGAGGAAUCUAUUCAGAUAUUGCAUUACGAACAUGGCCAAAAGUACGAGCCACAUUUUAUUAUUUUCAUGACAAAGUCAAUCAAGAGCUAGGCGGUCAUUGGGUGGCUACUGUUCUUAUGUAUUUAUCUGAUGUUGAGAAGGGUGGGGAAACAAUUUUUCCUAAUUCAGAGGUAAUCAGUAAUUGCAUGAUUCAUUUUUUCUGUUCUACUGGCGAUUAUGAUGCAACUUUUUUUCCCUUGUUAACGGGAAACCUACAGGCAAAAAAACUCAACUAAGGGUGAUGACUGGUCUGAUUGUGCUAAAAAGGAUAUGCAGUCUGAACUUCAGAAUCGUCAAAGUUCUAGAAAAACAGCAAAUGAUGCAUUUAAGGUUGUAUUUGGAAAUGAGCAGCCUGGUCAGGUUAGAUGCUAUGGUAGAUCGGUGACGACAAGAUCUCCAAAAAAAGAUGAAAAAAUCACAAAACUUAAACAACAGCAUGCCAACAAAAUAACUUCUCUGAAGGAAGAAAUGAUGAGAGAAGAAAUGCGAUAUUUUUUUAGUCAAUUGGUGAAAAACAACCCUGCACUAGAUUUUCAUGAUAUACAAGGGUGUGUUGGAUCUAAUAUUCCUUCACUGGUUGAUGCAAGUAGUGCAUGAGCUAUGAGAGGCCAUAAUCUUCCACAUUCUUCUUGCUCAACUCAUGCCCCGAGUCUUGAAAAGGAAAAUAUCGGUGAUGCAAUUGGAACUAGUGGCCACAAAUCAAUUUGAUUCAUUAAAGUGAAUGGUGAAGACCUUUUGAACAAUUGUGAUGUUUAUUUUUUUAUAUUGAUACUAUAAAUAUGAAUACAUUUGGUUUUGUUGAGGUUUUUGCUAGUGAACUUGUUGAACCAACAGUGCUUUGUUACUAUAGAUAGUACACAAAGUAUGUUUCUUUGUUGAAGUUUAUUUCAAGUAUA